rnacentral:rRNA from 1 species
GAUGAACGCUGGCGGCGUGCCUAAUACAUGCAAGUCGAGCGAACAGAUUAGGAGCUUGCUCCUCUGACGUUAGCGGCGGACGGGUGAGUAACACGUGGAUAACCUACCUAUAAGACUGGGAUAACUUCGGGAAACCGGAGCUAAUACCGGAUAAUAUAUUGAACCGCAUGGUUCAAUAGUGAAAGACGGUUUUGCUGUCACUUAUAGAUGGAUCCGCGCCGCAUUAGCUAGUUGGUAAGGUAACGGCUUACCAAGGCAACGAUGCGUAGCCGACCUGAGAGGGUGAUCGGCCACACUGGAACUGAGACACGGUCCAGACUCCUACGGGAGGCAGCAGUAGGGAAUCUUCCGCAAAGGGCGAAAGCCUGACGGAGCAACGCCGCGUGAGUGAUGAAGGUCUUCGGAUCGUAAAACUCUGUUAUUAGGGAAGAACAAAUGUGUAAGUAACUAUGCACGUCUUGACGGUACCUAAUCAGAAAGCCACGGCUAACUACGUG